UUUUAAACUACAUUUCAAGUAUGUGCAGGAUUUCCGUCUAAUAAAUAUAUGGAGUCCCACCUAAAUUAAAUGACAUUAUCUUGCAUGGAUGUGUUUUAGUUGAGUUGGGGCUCCAUAUAUUUAUUA